AGAUAUCACACCCUCACGAGUCAUAACAUGGCAUCUAUAGCUGGACUCACAUAUGCUACAUUCGGUCCGAGAACCGACUAAACCGUAGCUCUGAUGCCAAUAAAUGUAACACCCCAAAUCCAGUCUAAACGUUAUGACCGAAUCUGGUGAUGUCACAUUGUAACACCCCUUACCCGUAUUCGACGCUGGAAUAGGGUACGAGGCAUUACUAGAACACAUACACUUAUAAACAUGUUAAACCGAG
rnacentral:lncRNA from 1 species